rnacentral:rRNA from 1 species
UUAUCCGGAUUUAUUGGGUUUAAAGGGAGCGUAGAUGGAUGUUUAAGUCAGUUGUGAAAGUUGCGGGCUCAACCGUAAAAUUGCAGUUGAUACUGGAUGUCUUGAGUGCAGUUGAGGCAGGCGGAAUUCGUGGUGUAGCGGUGAAAUGCUUAGAUAUCACGAAGAACUCCGAUUGCGAAGGCAGCCUGCUAAGCUGCAACUGACAUUGAGGCUCGAAAGUGUGGGUAUCAAACAGGAUUAGAUACCCUGGUAGUCCACACGGUAAAC